rnacentral:rRNA from 1 species
AGCGAACGCUGGCGGCAGGCUUAACACAUGCAAGUCGAGCGGGCGUAGCAAUACGUCAGCGGCAGACGGGUGAGUAACGCGUGGGAACGUACCUUUUGGUUCGGAACAACUGAGGGAAACUUCAGCUAAUACCGGAUAAGCCCUUACGGGGAAAGAUUUAUCGCCGAAAGAUCGGCCCGCGUCUGAUUAGCUUGUUGGUGAGGUAACGGCUCACCAAGGCGACGAUCAGUAGCUGGUCUGAGAGGAUGAUCAGCCACAUUGGGACUGAGACACGGCCCAAACUCCUACGGGAGGCAGCAGUGGGGAAUAUUGGACAAUGGGCGCAAGCCUGAUCCAGCCAUGCCGCGUGAGUGAUGAGGGCCCUAGGGUUGUAAAGCUCUUUUAACGGGGAAGAUAAUGACGGUACCCGUAGAAUAAGCCCCGGCUAACUUCGUGCCAGCCGCCGCCGUAACAC